rnacentral:lncRNA from 1 species
ACGCCUCCCUGUCAGGUUCUCUGGCCUUGUGCCACUAGCCAAUUUGCAUAGUCGCUCCAGUACUUGGUUGUCUUUCCUGCUUCACCCAAGCAAACACACACCCUUCUUAUCACUUCCCAAGACCAAGUUCUGUGUUUAUUAACUUUGUACUGAUGGCAUAGUGAAAAAGAGAGCGAGAUCUCAGUGGAAACAAAAUAACCUUAAGUUAAAUAUCACUGUCCUGAGGUAUCACUGUACUAAGUUUUCUCAAACAGCA